rnacentral:lncRNA from 1 species
UUCCCACCUAUAUUCAAAAUGCCUUUUUAGGAGUAUCUUCCAAAAGUGAAACUUGUGAAACUUAAGACACAGCUUUUAGAGUUAAGCAGUUGAGCAUCCUUAGCAUUUAAAACAAUAAAUUUUUUUUCUAGAAAUCAGUCCAACCCUAAGCUGGGUAGAUGCAAUUAGGUGUUUCUGUUCAGUGUGUUUCAGGGCUCUUUCCUGCUAGUCUCUAGGGUUGCUGCUCUGUAUGUAUGUAUGUAUGUAUGUAUGUAUGUAUGUAUGUAUGUAUUUAUUUGUACCAGGGAUCAAACUCAGGACCUUGUGCUUGCAAGGCAGGCGGUGGAACCAUUGAGCUAAAUCCUCAGCCCUGCUACUAUUCUUUAAUUGGAAUUAAAGCUGGCCAUAAAGCAGAACACAUUAAUUAUUUCAGAAGUAAAAAGGGUAUUAAGAUGGGGAAAGGCACUCAAACACAAUCUAUGUAUUUAAACUCUUGGAGAACUUUUGGUUGGCCAGUCCUGGCCAGUCCUGGCACAAAGAGAUCUACAUGUCAUAGCAAUUCUUCACCUAAUUACCCUGACAUUAAAGAGAAGGAAGAAAAUUUGUUUUUUGCUGUAUUGCAAGAUUACUUUCUCUGCAGUCAGUAUACCAUUUUACUUGCUAUUCCUCAAAAUCCAAUGAUUCUGCACAAUUCAAGGGAAAAGAUUCACUGGUACCAGCUUAGGGAGUGGCUUUCAGGGUGCUGCUGAAGUUGAACAAGCCAUAGUUGUCCUUUCUGCUGUUAGGCAGCGAUCUCACCAACCUUCUAUUACGGUUCUGUUUGGGACACGGGGACAGGGGGACAUUGGGACAAUGGUUAUCACAUAACAGAGGAAAACAGCCAAAGCAAAACCACUGGGGGAGCUUUUGAAAGCCUCAUGGAAAAAGCCUGUAGAGCUAAAAUAUCCUAUGUAAACAGAGAAAAUGAUGGUCAUUUCAUACAACUAAUAUAUAAGGAAAGAAAACUCUGACAAAAUUGAAAGACAUAAUCUUCACAGAUUAAAUGCCAAUCUCGUCUGAUAAAAUAACUACUACAGCCAAAGGAACCAGGAU